AACACACACACACAGGAAGUCUCUUUAUUUCUUCUUCAUUGGUGUCUGAAGGUAGCUGUGUGUAUGGAAGCCUGUUUCUGCCAAUGUGAUUAAAUAAAUAAAGAUAUACUUUAUGAGAAUAAUGAGUUAGUGUCAUUGUUUUGAGAUAAUCAGUUCAUAAAUAUCUAGAGAUUGUAAAUCAAUAUUUGAAUAAAGUUUUUUGUCACUUUGGUGUAAAAUGGCUUCCAUACGAUUGCUAUCUGUUAAAGUUUCCCUCCAGUUAAAAACAUGUUCUUCUUCUUGUUCCUACAGGACCUCCAGUCUCUGAGACCUGGUGGUCCUCUACCCUCUCCAGGAUCACACCACGGGGGGGGCGUCCCUCACUCUGGUCUGUCCUGAUGUCUUUCAUUGGUUUAAAGACUCAUAAACACCACAGUGACACCGAGUAUCGAGCAAUCAGAGCUUCUUGCCCACAACUCGUACAAAUAUCUGACUAACGUUAGUGACCAAGGGCCCGUAGAGACAGCCUGCUGCUGUCUGUCUGUCUGUCUGUCUGUCUGUCUGUCUGUUACUGCCAACCUGAACCUGUCAGGUCUCUGAAGUGAACCAGGUUCAGACCUGAGUGUGAACCAACCAGCUGCUGGGAGAUCUUUAACUUCUGUUUGCUGACAGCAGAGGGCGCUGCUGCUCCUUCAGUGGAGACACAGUGUGGUAGACAGACAGACAGACAGACAGACAGAGAGAGAGACAGACAGACAGACAGACAGAGGGACAGUGUGACCUCGUCCACUACCUGUUUAUAGUCUGUGAAUGUUUCUUUGGAUCCUGUACUGUAACUGGUUGGAUCGGUCUCACAGAGCUCAGGUGAACAGUCUCACCUUUACCUUCCUCUUGUCCAGAGCUGAUCUUGCUGCUGGAGGUCUGAGCAGUGAACCAGGCGUCUGCAGUUGGUGCUGUAGGUGGACGGGCAGAGGAAGUCCUGCUGACGUGGUGCUGAUCGGGAUCAGGUUCUCAGACAGUCUGGAGGAUUUUCUGAUGGUUCCUGGAUUAAAACCAAUGAAUUCACUUUGUGUUUGUUCUGUUUUUCAGGCUUUACCAUUUGAAGUGAAGUUAUCAGUCACUGACCUCCAUCCUCAGUCUGAUGAAGGGGAGCGAAUAUACUCUUAUGUUACCACCUUUAUAUGUUUUUAUUGUUUAUUUUUUUAUUGUGCAAGUCUGAGAAACAGGAAUACAAAACAAAAAGUUAACAAACAAACAAACAGACAAACA